rnacentral:rRNA from 1 species
AAACGACUCUCGGCAACGGAUAUCUCGGCUCUCGCAUCGAUGAAGAACGUAGCGAAAUGCGAUACUUGGUGUGAAUUGCAGAAUCCCGUGAACCAUCGAGUCUUUGAACGCAAGUUGCGCCCCAAGCCAUCAGGCCGAGGGCACGUCUGCCUGGGUGUCACGCAUCGCUGCCCCACCCCGCUCCCCCCCGACCGACGCGGGGGACUGGCGGUGCGGGCGGAGACUGGCCUCCCGUGCGCUCCCCGCUCGCGGUUGGCCCAAAUCCGAGUCCUCGGCGACCGGAGCCGCGGCGAUCGGUGGUGAAAGAAAAGCCUCUCGAGCUCCCGCCGCGCGCCCGGUCACCCCCGUGGGGACUCCGCGGCCCAGACGCUCCGCACCAGCGGCGCUCGCAUAGCGACCCCAGGUCAGGCGGGACUACCCGCUGAGUUUAAGCAUAUCAAUAAGCGGAGGAAAAGAAACUUACCAGGAUUCCCCUAGUAACGGCGAGCGAACCGGGAAGAGCCC